rnacentral:rRNA from 1 species
CAGCAGCGCGGUAAUACAGAGGGUGCAAGCGUUAAUCGGAAUUACUGGGCGUAAAGCGCGCGUAGGUGGUUCGCCAAGUUGGAUGUGAAAUCCCCGGGCUCAACCUGGGAACUGCAUCCAAAACUGGCGAGCCAGAGUAUGGUAGAGGGUGGUGGAAUUUCCUGUGUAGCGGUGAAAUGCGUAGAUAUAGGAAGGAACAUCAGUGGCGAAGGCGACCACCUGGACUGAUACUGACACUGAGGUGCGAAAGCGUGGGGAGCAAACAGGAUUAGAUACCCCCGUAGUCCCUGUCUCUUAUACA